AGCAUCUCCAUGAGGCUCUCAUCUCUGAGAAAAAUAUGUCUGCAUCUCACAACUGGACUUCAAGACAAAUGGUAUCUAAAAAACAUUGAACAGAAGCGAGACAAACACUCUUGGAUUGCUUGCUCGCCUCAGACAGGGUAGAUUUCCUAUCUAUGAUCACUGCAGAGUGAAGGCAGCAGUGAUAAUGGACUAUGACAAAACAAUAUAACUGUGACAACUGUGAUGUGUCAUCUUAGCAACACCUUGUUUUGCAUAACAGGGAGUGUAAGGUAAGCAAAACGUAUUUAUGAAUACAUAAGUCUAAGUCAUAUGUUAGCUUUUUUUUUUACCCUCAAAGUAUUUGUGAUUGUGAGCCUCAAAACAUGUCUGUAAGUGCGGUACGAUGAGUACAUCUCAUCAACAUAAAUGGUAUGUACUCCAUAAAAUUGACAUAUUUAAUCCAAUUUUUCAAUAUUCAUAAUAUGAUUAAUAUUGUAACUUAUUUGGAUUACAUUGUAGGUCACUAUGACCUGUCUUUGGAGCUGCGUUAAAGGCCACAAAUCAUGGGACACUUGAGCUGCAGGACAUCAAAGAGGAUAUUUGUGACAUUACAAAGUUCAGGUCCAUACAUCACAGAUGAGAAGUGUCAUUUUCCACUCCGGAGGAGGAAGCAUUUAGUUCUAAAUGGUUGUCAUGUGACCUCUGACCUGUUUUGUUGAAAGAAAAGAAAACAUACACCAAAGUGUACUGUACAAGAGUAUUCUGAUUUCAACGUGACAAACAGUGUUAUCACGGGAUAACUAAGUUUGCGACCAAAGAAAACGACUUGUGUGGAGCAUGUCCGUGAACAGCAACCCUGUGUACUGCUCAAAUACACCACCACCACGGCAGAAAACCAUCCUCAUCGGCUCGAUGAGACGCCUGGUGGUGUGGGGAGAUUGAUGAACGGAGAAAGGAGGCAGGGAGAGAUGAGAAAAUGAAGAUGUCUGGGAAAUUCUGCAUUUUUCACAAAAGAGCUGGAAAAUACGACCUGGCUCAGGUUAAAGCGGGAUCAUACUGAAAAAUUACUGAUGGUAUAAUCACACAUGAUGAUAGGAGAACUGAUUAUAGUAGAUCCUUCAAUUAGCUAUACUUCUGAUGUUCUUGUGGUCAACAUAAUUAUAAAUUAUAUAUCGCUGCAUCAUGGUCCUGGAACGCCCCUUGCCUUGCAUGAACAUGCUAAGCUUCAUGAAGCUUCAAGGAUGAGAGGACAGCAAGGCAGGUUAAUGCAGCAGGUCAUUCACGUCGCUAACAUUUGCUGUGAGCACGGAGGCUUCCAUCGAGAACCUGCUGAUAAACCAGGACACCUUGGAAGUCAAAUGGAUUGAGUUCGGGUGUGGUGCGCUCAUGAAGGAGUCUGCCUACGAGACCUUCCUUUGCACAAAAGUAUGCUGUCCACCAGAGUACCAUGUCAAUGGCAAUCCUUCUGUUUGUAAUGGUGUGGGUAUUAUUGCUCUGACCACAACUUGCUUAUGAUCAGUGAAGAUGAAUGAUGAUUCGUGCUUCUCUGCAGCCUGAUCCACAGCAGAGACUUAUUCUGGAAGAGAUGCAGCUCCAUGACUGGAUUGAGGUCAUGGUGUAAGACAAUGGAGAACAACAGAAAACAGCUCCAUAACAGACACCAUUUUGUUUCUGACAUCAGUCAGCUUUGCAUCUUUCCAUCCUAAUGAAAUUCAGUAAUAUUUUGGCUAAAUAGAGAAAAACAGGCAAUAUUGUGUCUAAAAUGUAGGUCACUUAAUAUUAAUUUCUUUUUAAUUAAACUGUUGUAUAAAAUCAAAAUCACAUUUGCAAACGUGCUGAUAUUUGAAAAACCAAAAAAACGUCUUUGUAUGAUUCCUUAACUAUAUCAUAUGAUAUAAAUAUAGCCUUAAAAACAAAUUCUUAAACAGGGGAAUUUUUACAUUGCCAUUUCAAAAUAGUGAAUCAGGCAGUGACGGCGUGCAUUCAAAACACAUGCGCAGUAACCUUUUCAACGGCUCUACGUACUCCUGUAUGCAGGCGUGUUUUUCUGGGGGACAUACUCGAUAAUGUCAGAUCACACAUCAUUAAAACAACAAUUAAGCUAUUAUCGUAGACGAUAUUUAUCACAGACUUUAGGGACUUUGAUAUAUAUAAAAUAUAAGUAUGUGUGGUGAUCAAUGUUUGGAUGUUAUCUGAGAAUAAAGUAUUACAUUUCAAACACUUUAUUAUACUGAGUGAUCCCGUCACUUCAGAAGAAUUAGAACCGCUUGAUCAAAAAUAUCAAAAACCUCAAAGUAUUGACAGCAGUGCCAUCUGCUUGCAAGUAAAUUGCCAACAGAACUAUCAUGUUUUAUAACUAAAGAAUGUUUUUAAACGAGAGAACUUUUUAUUUUUCUAGAAGCAUUUCUUAUAUAAGAAUAUGUAGUAAUUGCUUAUUAAAGUAUACAAGAGUUUACAAAAACACCAACACCAGACAACAAAACAAAACAUUCAAAAAUACCAAAAACACACUAUUCACAGUCCUAGCGACUACAACCUAAAGUAAGUUUUCAAUGUGCAAAGUGAAACGUCCCCUAACUCUUUAAACAAAGAAAAGUGGCUUUAAAGUUUGACCUCAGUGUGGAUUUUGAAAUACCUGCAAUCCAUUUUCCUUGAAUUUCUACACAAAUAUUCCAAACACAUCUGGUACAGAAAUGGCAAAGCUUGUGAUUUCAGUCAUUUUUGACAAAAUGUGUAGUUAUUAGAGUAUUUUGCCUUAGUUGGCCAGUAAGGGUUUCCACAUUUGAUUAUACCAAGUGUGCAGUGCAUAAGGAUAGGUGAUAAGUUAAAAAAUACAUGUUUUGGUCAUUUCAUACCCUUGCCUCAACAGAAGGUGAAGAUGCAAAAUACAGAAAGAAAAGAUAUAUAUCCAGUAAGUGUUUUAAGACUUGAAGUUUAAAAACAAGUGAUUUUAAAACCUCAAAUCACCAAAAGAGAAGUCUUUCAGUGUGUGUGCCUGCCGUCUGAGAGACGGUUCGAGUGAGGCACAUAAGAACUAAAGAUUUUUAUCUAUUUAUUUAUUUUUUGGGGAAACUUAUUGGACUUGAACGGUCAAAAAUUUAUGUGUGUGUGUGUGUGUGUGUGUAUAUAUAUAUAUCUCGGGGGCGUUUCCUCCGAGGAGGCAAGGGAGGCAGUGCCUCCUCAAAAAAAAAUAGGAGAAAUUAGUCCAUAUUACAUGAAAAACAACACAAAUAUUACAAAUUAUGACAUUAAAAAGAGCACAAGUCACUCGUAUUUCUUAAGGAACACUGUCCAACAGCGACACCCGCAGGUAAAGUUACAGCAGGAGUCAUGCCUCCCUUUGCUCUCAUAGAAAACCAUAGAAAAUCAUCAGACCCCCGGUGUGCAGUGGGUUUUGUGGGGGGUAAUUGAGAAUGAAUGGGGGAAAGUCACGUGAGAGGAGGCAAUGUCUCCAUCGCGCUUUGAUUGGAUGUAAUUGGUUAUGAUUGGAUAUGAUUGGUUUGUGCAAUAAAUCCCGCCUCUUGUUGACGUGCACGUUCCGCGCGUCAGUUUGAAUGAACAAAUGAUGGCGUCAAUGGGAAGACUAAGUAAACAGA